rnacentral:rRNA from 1 species
GAUGAACGCUGGCGGCGUGCCUAAUACAUGCAAGUCGAGCGAACGGACGAGAAGCUUGCUUCUCUGAUGUUAGCGGCGGACGGGUGAGUAACACGUGGAUAACCUACCUAUAAGACUGGGAUAACUUCGGGAAACCGGAGCUAAUACCGGAUAAUAUUUUGAACCGCAUGGUUCAAAAGUGAAAGACGGUCUUGCUGUCACUUAUAGAUGGAUCCGCGCUGCAUUAGCUAGUUGGUAAGAUAACGGCUUACCAAGGCAACGAUGCAUAGCCGACCUGAGAGGGUGAUCGGCCACACUGGAACUGAGACACGGUCCAGACUCCUACGGGAGGCAGCAGUAGGGAAUCUUCAGCAAUGGGCGAAAGCCUGACGGAGCAACGCCGCGUGAGUGAUGAAGGUCUUCGGAUCGUAAAACUCUGUUAUUAGGGAAGAACAUAUGUGUAAGUAACUGUGCACAUCUUGACGGUACCUAAUCAGAAAGCCACGGCUAACUACGUG